rnacentral:snoRNA from 1 species
CCUGCCUUUAGAUGUGUUACAGAUGUGAAUGCUGUGUCACAUGUGUAUCACUAAUUGACAGAAGGAAAAAACCUCUCUAGUGUUUUGAAUUGUGAAUAAUGAGAUGAUUGACACC